GACGAACGCUGGCGGCGUGCUUAACACAUGCAAGUCGAACGGAAAGGCCCUGCUUUUGUGGGGUGCUCGAGUGGCGAACGGGUGAGUAACACGUGAGUAACCUGCCCUUGACUUUGGGAUAACUUAAGGAAACUGGGGCUAAUACCGGAUAGGAGCUCCUGCUGCAUGGUGGGGGUUGGACAGUUUCGGCGGUUGGGGAUGGACUCGCGGCUUAUCAGCUUGUUGGUGGGGUAGUGGCUUACCAAGGCUUUGACGGGUAGCCGGCCUGAGAGGGUGACCGGCCACAUUGGGACUGAGAUACGGCCCAGACUCCUACGGGAGGCAGCAGUGGGGAAUAGUGCACAAUGGGCGGAAGCCGGAUGCAGCAACGCCGCGUGCGGGAUGACGGCCUUCGGGUUGUAAACCGCUUUCGCCUGUGACGAAGCGUGAGUGACGGUAAUGGGUAAAGAAGCACCGGCUAACUACGUG
rnacentral:rRNA from 1 species